GCCGUCGCACAGAUAGGAGCCUUUUCAUUUGCUGUGUUAACCGCGUAUGCAUCGUGGCUGAGCACAGUUGCCGUUCAAUAGGGCGAACUGGAUGCUUUUGUUGUUAAAUCCGCAUAUCGUCAUUACAGAAUCUGAUGAAAGAAGAUAAAAUGCAGUUCGUGACCACCGAGAUAUACGAGCCUGGAUAGAGGGUAUUGCGAGUUUUGAAGCGAAAUCUGAUGGUAUAAGCUAUGGCGGUCAUAUAUUCGGACUGACUGGAGAUUGUGCAGUUGGCUAAGCCAAACUUCGAGAAAUUGGUGGAGAAAUUUAGUUGGUGACAUAAGUACUAUUUGGGUAGGCUUCAUGAGAAUCGGCAACGGUGCGCAUACCCAUCGAAUGACUACUCAACGUUUCUUGUGAAAUUAUCAGAUAACUGCCAUAUGCAAAAAGUUUGCGUUACACCGUCAACAGGCGAGCACGGCGAUUCUUUUAAUUAUUAGGAAUGAGAUCGCCUUUGACUCCGUAAUUUAUGUUGAAAAUCCCAAGGUAAAGUAAAAAUUGAUUUUUUCGUCGUUGUUUUAUCGAUGGUGAGCUACAAGCCGAUAGUCUUAUAAUAAAGGAUGAUUAGGUUCACUGUACAAACAUUGAUAGUAAUAUAGUCGAACAUUUUGAGCUUGAGUCGAACAUCGUGAGGAAAAACAAGGGACGUAAUUCAGAUUUCUCUGAAGAUCUUUUCAGUAUCUGAUGUAUGAAGCUUAACACUUUUCUGUCCCAAGUUGCAGUACACUACUACCAACUUACGAACUUUUCUUAGGAAACGAUGUGCUUCGCCAGGACACUUCGGCACGGGGUAAUCUAUCUUAUAGUUCUCCGAGCAAACUGGAAUCGCGAAGAUAAACUGCAAUGGUUUUAUGAUGCAGAACAUCUACGUUGAUGGCAGACACAACCGGUGGAAAAUGAAUUCAUGUCUCGCUGAAACUGUAGGUUGGGGAACGGGUUAUCAAGCUGUAGGAUACUAUUGGACGAAUUUACUCUGCUCUACUGCUGUUGCGUGUAAUAGCUACCAUGGAUGUGGCCGAGCUGGGCUGACUGCGGGUUCCCUCAGAUGUAAACGUAGUGGUAGAGGAAUGUGAAUGUACUAGCAGAGUAUCUGUCUCGUAUCUGGAACUGAAAAAGCCUAUCCACGACAUCCGAGGACUUGGUUUUUUAAGGUGCUUUCUCGCCAUCCGUUCGAGUGCCUAUCCGACUCUUCGUUAUCAUUCAACGCAAUUAGUAUGUGUACAUUACCGCCAAGCUUAUCGUGUCAAACCCGUUUGCUUUUCUAUUACCAAAGCAUUCAAGGUACUUCCAGCACCCGUUUGCUUUUCUAUUACCAAAGCAUUCAAGGCACUUCCAGCAGUGCUUCGUUCCUUUAGCAAGCAAACCGGGCAGUGCAUUGUGUUAAUAUCGUGCUUUUGGUGUGUACGGACGGUAAGAAUUUCGAGACAGACGGGAGAACCUUGGGAAAUUUCUCGUAAGGACUCCCCGCCGUGCUGCGGAUCUUUGCCGGUUUUUGGGAAACUUUAUUGAAACACGUGAAACAAAAGGGCGUGCGUUCGUGGAUUCAUGCAUUCGUAACGCCUCACAGAUCGCUAUCUAUCGCGCAAACUAUCUAUAUUGCCUCAACGUCCAUAUUCACCAAGGUUCAUGUUGCGUGUCACUUCGAAAGUUUCAGAAAACGUUUCUGGACGUCAAAUUGAUGAUUGACACAUGCGCAACUGACAGAGCGGAUCAUACGUACUACAUACGUACACAAAGGGCUUUGUUCAGAGGUCUAAUCGUCACCGAUGAGUAGGUGAGUAAUUAACAGAACUUCGUGUAAUGACUUUAGUGAUGAUUCAUCAAGACGGGACCGAUAAUUUUGUGGACAACUUACCCACCUGAGCCAUAGUCAAUGAAAUGUUGAUUCAGAAUGAAAUAUUUCAAGAAUUCUAAUUAUUACUUCUUAAGUCUCCUGAUUUCAGAUAUUAUGGCACAUGAUUGUUGAUUAGGUGCUGUACUAGGAAAGGUAUUAUGGCACAUGAUGGUUGAUUAGGUGCUGUACUAGGAAAGGUAAGCAUUGCGCUUAACUUAAUUGUAACGUACGACACCUCUUAUGACGAAGAACUCACUCCGAAAUAUCAUGUGGACCCACAUACCUACAUUAUCUGAAAAAGCCGGUUUUCAAGUUCAUGGUGGUUUAUAGUGUAUACGUACAAAGUUUUGGUACUUACAGGUGUUGCAACUCAGAAAAUGAAGUCAGCGCCAUUUUUUGAGGUUCAUCUAAAGACCGAGGUGCUCUCCGAAUUUAUAACUACAAUGUAUUUUUAAGGGUUUUGCAGAAGUGGUGUUUCACAGCAUCGGACCCUACAGGCGCUUAACCGAGGACCCGUAUCGAAAAAAACUUUCAUCAGCGCCUACAGGCGCUUAACCGAGGACUCGUAUCGAAAAAAACUUGUGACUGUAAACAAUAAAUCGUCAAACAAAUUAUUCUGAAAAUACCUGGAAAAUGAAUACCAUGAAUAAUGGAGAAUGAAUGGUGAAGCUUUAUUUUCUUGAGGCCAUACUUCUGCGAAAAUUUAUCAGCGGAAGAAUUAAGCAAGGUCUUGAUGAAGUGAAUAAUCGUAGGUGAAUGGUGCGGGCAAGAAGGGAGUUUGAUUGUACAUCGUAGACCAACGAUAAGGUGGAAACGAUUGUUUAGGAACUUAGUCGCGAUCGAGAAAAUAAAGCAACAAAUACAAUCCACUUGUUCGUUCGACAACCAAAGCACACACUUUACCUGAGUCUAGUAAUGACUAAGGAAUAUCCAAAAUUGGCUUUCCGUGAGCCAUGUAGUGCCUUUCUUGGGACACGACUGGUGGGCGAGUAUUGUGUUCUAGUUAAUCGAUAAUGGCAUAUGUUCGGUGUAUAUGGCUGUUCGUAAGCUGCCAAAGCGUUAAUAAAACUCAUUAGAAUUAGCCCA